UACGGGGGAGCAAGCGUUGUUCGGAUUUACUGGGCGUAAAGGGCGCGUAGGCGGCCACCGCAAGUCAGUUGUGAAAUCUCUGGGCUUAACCCAGAACGGUCAGCUGAUACUGCGGGGCUAGAGUGCAGAAGGGGCAACUGGAAUUCUCGGUGUAGCGGUGAAAUGCGUAGAUAUCGAGAGGAACACCUGCGGCAAGGCGGGUUGCUGGGCUGACACUGACGCUGACAGCGCGAAAGCUAGGGGAGCAACGGG
rnacentral:rRNA from 1 species